rnacentral:rRNA from 1 species
CAGUAGCCGCGGGAAUACGAAGGGGGCUAGCGUUGCUCGGAAUCACUGGGCGUAAAGGGUGCGUAGGCGGGUCUUUAAGUCAGGGGUGAAAUCCUGGAGCUCAACUCCAGAACUGCCUUUGAUACUGAAGAUCUUGAGUUCGGGAGAGGUGAGUGGAACUGCGAGUGUAGAGGUGAAAUUCGUAGAUAUUCGCAAGAACACCAGUGGCGAAGGCGGCUCACUGGCCCGAUACUGACGCUGAGGCACGAAAGCGUGGGGAGCAAACAGGAUUAGAUACCCCCGUAGUCCCUGUCUCUUAUAA